rnacentral:rRNA from 1 species
UACGGAGGGGGCUAGCGUUGUUCGGAAUUACUGGGCGUAAAGCGCACGUAGGCGGAUAUUUAAGUCAGGGGUGAAAUCCCGGGGCUCAACCCCGGAACUGCCUUCGAUACUGGGUAUCUGGAGGUCGAGAGAGGCGAGUGGAAUUCCGAGUGUAGAGGUGAAAUUCGUAGAUAUUCGGAGGAACACCAGUGGCGAAGGCGGCUCGCUGGCUCGAUACUGACGCUGAGGUGCGAAAGCGUGGGGAGCAAACAGG